AACGCUGGCGGCAUGCCUAACACAUGCAAGUCGAACGAGACCUUCGGGUCUAGUGGCGCACGGGUGCGUAACGCGUGGGAAUCUGCCCUUGGGUUCGGAAUAACUUCGGGAAACUGAAGCUAAUACCGGAUGAUGACGUAAGUCCAAAGAUUUAUCGCCCAAGGAUGAGCCCGCGUAGGAUUAGCUAGUUGGUGAGGUAAAGGCUCACCAAGGCGACGAUCCUUAGCUGGUCUGAGAGGAUGAUCAGCCACACUGGGACUGAGACACGGCCCAGACUCCUACGGGAGGCAGCAGUGGGGAAUAUUGGACAAUGGGCGAAAGCCUGAUCCAGCAAUGCCGCGUGAGUGAUGAGGGCCUUAGGGUUGUAAAGCUCUUUUACCCGGGAUGAUAAUGACAGUACCGGGAGAAUAAGCUCCGGCUAACUCCGUG
rnacentral:rRNA from 1 species